UCAAGUGAAUCUCCUGCCUCCGCCUCCCAAGUGUCUGGAAUUACAGUCAUGCACCACCAUGCCCGGCUAGUUUUGUAUUUUUUAUUAAAGAUGAGGUUUCACCAUGUUGGUCAGACUGGUCUUUAACUUCUGACCUCCGGUUGUUAUCUACCUGCCUUGGCCUCCCAAAGUGCUAGGAUUACAGCUGUAAGUCACCACACCCCACUGAGAUUUGCUUUUAAAUAUUUCAGAAGAUAAAAAAAAAGAAGUCACUGAAACAACAUUAACAGAAUGUUGAUAGUUGAGGAAGGCUGGUUAUGGGUUCAGGAGGUUUCAUUAUACUAUCAUACUUUUGUAUAUGUUUGACAUUUUCCACAAUACUUUUUAAAGAUAAAAUUUGUAAGAAAAAAACAGAAUGCUUUUAAAAUAGAACAUGUGAAAUUUGGAAUGCUGUGUGGUAAUUUUCAGCAAAACACUGCUUUCUCAUCUCAGUAUUUAUUUUGUUACUGAGUUCCUACAUUUAAUUGCGUUGACAUCUGUAUAAUGCCAAAGUACCAAGUUUCAUGCUAAGAAUAGCUUAAGAGCUAUGCCAGUAUCUAUUUAUUCACAUUUAUAAAUAAUAAUUUUCAUUCAAAUCAAAUUGUACUUUAAAGAAUAUACCAUUCUUUGGUUGGCCAUUUGUCUUCUUUUCCAUUGUUUUUCAUCUUACAUAAAAGUUUCUAAGUUAGAAUUUAAACAUGUUUCUUGUUUUAAAAAAGGUCAGAUCAAACUAGUAAAGCACACAGAUGAGUCCCAUCACCACUCCACUUCCCUUCUUUUAAAAUGUGUUUACAAGCCUUGGUACUUUCAAAAGAAUGUUAAAGUAGAAUGUAUAAAUGAGUACGAAUAUUUAUUCUUAACUAGUCCAUUUGGUUGCUUGUUUUUAAGUUCCUCAAGAUGGUAAAAUACAAAAGUAUCAGGUAAUUUACCCUUGCUUAUUUGUUAUUUAAAUAGCGUUUUAAAAGCCAUUUAUUCUUAGAAUCCAUCUUUUCAAUCCAAACUUCUUAGUUCAGCCUGACAUACUCCCUUACAAUCUGGUCCUUUAUCUCACUUGUAUAAACACUGUUUUUCAAAUUAUUUUUUAAUUUCCAAAAUAUCUUGUACUUAUUUUAGGCUUUUGUUCAUAUAGUUAAAAACUCCUGGAGCGUCCUGUCUGCCUGUUCUUUCCUUUCCUUAAGAUACAACUUUAUUCAUCUGCAAAAUGGGAAAAGUAAAAAAAAUUAAAAGUAAAAUAAAGAAUUUUUUUAAAGAAAUAGCUUUAACUCCAUCUCAGCUGAAAAGGCUUCUUAGACCACAAAAGCUUGUUGUGAAAUCCUGAAUUAUUUUCAAUUCUGAGUGAUUAUGUGGCACCUUUCUUCUAAUGAACUAUUCUAUUUCUUGGAACUCUAAAAUUCUGUUACUUUGACUUUCACAUCUUUAAUAAGUAUAUGUGCUAAGGCAUCAAAUCUGUUUCUUACUCCCCUCUCUCGACAUCUACCAUGGUUAAUCCUAACUUUUAUGUCAUUUUAACCAGGCAAAUUACUACCCAUAUGCAAAGUUUAGUCUUUGAAGGGCCACAAUAAGCAUAUUAAAUAAUGGUAUCUUUAUCAGUAUUUUCUAACAUUAUAUUUGCUGACCUUGAAGUUAACUAAUAUCAGUAAAAUAACAAACUGUUGAACCUAUAUUUAAAUUAAGCACCUCCUAGGUGCUUGGCAUUGAAAGAUACAAAGCUGAAUAAGUCCCUGUUUCUGCCCUCAAAGACUUCAUAAUAAUAGUCUCAAAUUUGUCACUAAAUAUUCUUUGUGGUAAAUAGCCAUUUUUUGAACAACUCUUAAUUUGAUAAAUCUUUCAAGUGGAUAAAGGAAUAAGAGAUGUGUUUUUAAUUUAGAAUUCUUACUGAAGCAAAACUUUGCUCACCAUCAUUAAAAUAAAAGCAUAUACUUUCUAAAAAGAAUUUUUCAAAUCACGUUAUUUAGGGAGGGAGGGAGUUCAUUUUAAUUUUCUAAAAUUUCCUGUAAACUGAUUAUUGAAGUUGUACUAUGAAUUUCAUGAACACCAGCUAUUUUCUAAGGGAUAACAUGGGGAGAAAUGCCAGAUGUAGGUGACGGGAGGAUGGAGGCAGCAAACCACGUUGCCAUGUAUGUACCUAUGCAACAAUCCUGCAUGAUCUGCACACAUACCCCAGAACCUAAAGUGCAAUAAAUUUUUUUUUAAAUAUCAUUUUAUUUGAACUCCCUCUCUCAAAAUUUCCUGAAGUGAAGGACUAAAUCUUACACAUCUUUAUAUUUCUUAAUACCUAGUAUUGCAUUGAAUAUAUAGAAAAUUAUUUAAAAUUCUUUCACAUAAUUAAUGCUUACAUGUGCUAAGUACCAUAAAUGAAGUCCUUCAUUUUAACAUCCCCGAAAUUGUAUUUGGCCCAUAACAGUGUUUCCUGUCUUUUUUUUUUUUUUUUUAAUCAUAAUAGAGAGCAGUUUUAGACAUUUUUUUUCUAAUCGCAUCUAAUGGUAUUUUAGUACAACAGAUGUACCGUGUAUCUAAUUAUAUUGGUUAUAAUAUGGAGAGCCAUAAACCGUUGUACUAUCUAAGACUUUUUAGCCCCAAGAACCAAAACACAAAUCCCAGUCUGCUCUGCUUAUAGCAUAUGCUCCCUUAUUGUUUCAUUGAUUUAACAUGUUGUGGAAUAAGAAGAUAAUAUAUUACGUAAUAUAGCAUAAUAUAAUGUAAUUUAAUGUAAUAGGCUUUUUAUACACCAAAAUAUAAAUGUUGGUAGUUGUUGAAAAUCUAAAUCUAAAUGUAUUUUACAAUUGAAAGAGAAGCUUCUUAAAAUAUUUUGUUACAAAAUGUGUCGCUGGAAUUAUGAUCUUGUAUUUGAAAUACUUUCCCACAGGCAGACUGUUUGUCCAUGAGUGGGCUCACCUCCGGUGGGGAGUAUUUGAUGAAUACAAUGAAGAUCAGCCUUUCUACAGCGCUAAGCCAAAAAAAAUUGAAGCAACAAGGCAUGGCUAUUUAAAUUUUCUAAACUGACUUCAGGCUUUUAUUUGCUCUUAUUUUCCUUACUUUGAUUUCUUCCAAAAUCAGUCUUAAUGCAGACAAUAUAUCACAAAAUGAUGCUUCCUUUUUUUUUAGAAAGUGUAUCUUAAAGUAGUUGAUUGCUAUUUAAAACAUAACAUAAUUGAGCUUCCAAAGCAAGGCGCCUUGGCUCGCAGAGAGCAAGAUUCCAUCUCAAAAAGAAAAAAGGAAAAAAAAAAACAUACAUAAUUUCAAUGGCAAGCAUUUGGUUGGCAAUUCAACUUAUUUUAUACCUCUCUACCAUACCUUCCAGAACUCACUUGCACUGAUCUUGGGCACUAUGUAAAUGGAUUCACAAUAUGCUGGGAUAAGAUCAGAGUUGUUUACAUUACAAAACAUGGUUAAGUAAUGCUAAAUGUGGACUGAGUAAGAAAUCAAAUAGCUUCAAGGAGCCAAGCCAGAACUUCUUGGAGAUUAUAAAUGUUAUUUAAUAAUACCAUCUAGCAUCAUAGUUAAUAAUAGACUCUCCUUUUGAUUAUGUGGUCAAAAGAGCAAAAUGGUUGGGAAGAAUUGGUUCAAAAUUAAAAUUAGUGCUAUUACCUCAUCAAUGUUAGAUGUCCUGCUGGGGCUGAAGACUUGACGUUAAUGUGUGAAUUGAAAGGUAUAUGAUUUAAAUCAAGGUCCUUCCUCUGCCCCAUUGCACCAAUUUUCAGGCACAUAUUUUAGAGACUAUUACAUUUAUUCCAUUUGUUUAUAUCAUAUUCCCCUUAGAUGUCUAACUACUGCUGCAGAAUAUUCAUCACGAUUUUCCACAUAGAUAGCUUCAUCAUGUCCACCUAGUUUGGGGGCAGUAGAAGCAUGGACAUAUUUGAAACUCCCUAAAUAACUGAAGAAAAACUAUUCAUCAUUUCCUGAAUUUGAACUGAAAACCUAUUGAAAAGACAAACUAUGUUCACAUUCCAGCAUAUUUGUUGCAAUCGUUGCUACCUGUGGCCAGUUACAUAUAUAAAACAUAUGUCUAAACUGUCUACAUCACUUUUUCUUCCACCAUCUUUCUUGGCAGCACCUAAUCUUCGCUUCCAAUCACAUUUCACUUUGGAUAAAAAUGUUCCUUAAACAAUCAAAAUACUUGUGUCUAUGCCAUGUACCAUUCUUUUGGGAGUAUCUUUGGGAAGAAGUCUACAAAGAACUUCAAACUAAAGUGGUACUCAGAGUAAAUGAUCUCACAAGGUCUCUUUUUCAGGUCCCUACAGCAUAUUUGCCACCAAAAGACCAGCAGGAGAGAUGUCUAAGCAAGAGACCGGCGGCUUUAAUACCAGCGGAGAACUUGACCAUUGUGUUUCUCUGGAGGCCUCACUUAAAUUUUCCCUCUAGAAUUCUUAAAAAAAAUAGAUAAUUACUUUGAUUGGAGCCCUUACACUCUACUGCCAGGAUAGAAAGUACAUGGUGCACACAGAAGAAUAAACAUCUUGAUAUAAAGGUGUUCCACAGGCAUCUCUGGUAUAAAUAGAGUUUAUAAGUGUCAAGGAGGCAGCUGUCUUAUUAGAACGUGCAGAGUUGAUUCUACAAAAAAACUAUAUGAAAAAGAUUGUCAAUUCUUUCCUGAUAAAGUGCAAACAGAAGAAGCAUCCAUAAUGUUUAUGCAAAGUAUUGAUUCUGUUGUUGAAUUCUAUAAUGAAAAAAACCAUAAUCAAGAAGCUCCAAGCCUACAAAACAUAAAGUGCAAUUUUAGGAGUACAUGGGAGGUGAUCAGCAAUUCUGAGGGUUUUAAAAACACAACACUCAUGGUGACACCACCUUCUCCACCUGUCUUCUCAUUGCUGACGAUCAAAGAAUUGUGUGCUUACUUCUUCAUAAGUCUGUAAGCAUGGCGGUGAUUGGAGAGCUAUACUCCCAACUCAAUGGAUCUGAAAUUGUGCUGCUGACUGAUAGGGAGGAUAACAUUGCAAGUUCUUGUAUUGAUGAAGUAAAACAAAGUGGGGCCAUUGUUCAUUUUAUCGCUUUGGAAAAAGAUGCUGAUGAAGAGUAAUAGAGAUGAGCAAUAUAACAGUCCUUCAUUUCUAUAACAAGAUGCUGAUUCUUUCAAGAAUGAUGGGGUCUACUCCAGAUAUUUUACAGCAUAUACAGAAAAUGGCAGAUACAGCUUAAAAGUACGGGCUCACGGAGGAACAAACACUGCCAGGCUAAGCUUACGGCAUCCACUGAAUAGAGCUGCAUACAUACCAGGCUGGGUAGUAAACGGGGAAAUUGAAGCAAAUCCACCAAGACCUGAAAAUAAUGAGGAUACUCAGUUCACCUUGGAGAAUUUCAGCCAAACAGCGUCCGGAGGUGCAUUUGUGGUAUCACAAGUCCCAAGCCUUCCCUUGCCUGACCUAUACCUACCAAGUCAAAUCACAGACCUUGAUGCCACACCUCAUGAGGAUGAGAUUGUUCUUACAUGGACAGCACCAGGAGAUGAUUUUGAUGUUGGAAAAGGUAAGGACGAAGUGUCAUGUGAUUUUGACUUAAGUGAAAAGUGCUAAUUGCAAAAACGAGGGUGUAAGAGUCAGUGAGGGGAGAAUGGUUUUAAAUUGAUAGCAAGUAUUAAUUUUAUAAUCUGAUAUUUUUCAAUCAAGUCACACAUUUUAACAUGGUCCUACUUUUUAUACAGGGAAGGUAACAGUUUGCAGAGCUUAAGAUCAGAAUUCAGCUUUUAUUAAAAAAAUGAGUAAGGCUUUUGAUAUGAGUAUUUGCUUUGCAUAACUAGACAUUGUUGAGAAUAAAUAAAAGGAAAUAAAUAUGCUGUACUCCAGUCUCUAAAUUACUUGUAACUUUUUUCUUAGUUCAACAUUAUAUCAUAAGUGGAAGUAUCCUUGAUCUAAGAGACAGUUUUUUUUUUUGUUUUGUUUUGUUUUGUUUUGUUUUUUUCCCAUUUAUUUAUUUUAUUGUAUUUUAGG